UGGAUUAAGAGCUUGCUCUUAUGAAGUUAGCGGCGGACGGGUGAGUAACACGUGGGUAACCUGCCCAUAAGACUGGGAUAACUCCGGGAAACCGGGGCUAAUACCGGAUAACAUUUUGAACCGCAUGGUUCGAAAUUGAAAGGCGGCUUCGGCUGUCACUUAUGGAUGGACCCGCGUCGCAUUAGCUAGUUGGUGAGGUAACGGCUCACCAAGGCAACGAUGCGUAGCCGACCUGAGAGGGUGAUCGGCCACACUGGGACUGAGACACGGCCCAGACUCCUACGGGAGGCAGCAGUAGGGAAUCUUCCGCAAUGGACGAAAGUCUGACGGAGCAACGCCGCGUGAGUGAUGAAGGCUUUCGGGUCGUAAAACUCUGUUGUUAGGGAAGAACAAGUGCUAGUUGAAUAAGCUGGCACCUUGACGGUACCUAACCAGAAAGCCACGGCUAACUACGUGCCAGCAGCCGCGGUAAUACGUAGGUGGCAAGCGUUAUCCGGAAUUAUUGGGCGUAAAGCGCGCGCAGGUGGUUUCUUAAGUCUGAUGUGAAAGCCCACGGCUCACCCGUGGAGGGUCAUUGGAAACUGGGAGACUUGAGUGCA
rnacentral:rRNA from 1 species